rnacentral:rRNA from 1 species
AACGAACGCUGGCGGCAGGCUUAACACAUGCAAGUCGAGCGCCCCGCAAGGGGAGCGGCAGACGGGUGAGUAACGCGUGGGAAUCUACCCAUCUCUACGGAAUAACGCAUGGAAACGUGUGCUAAUACCGUAUACGUCCUUCGGGAGAAAGAUUUAUCGGAGAUGGAUGAGCCCGCGUUGGAUUAGCUAGUUGGUGGGGUAAAGGCCUACCAAGGCGACGAUCCAUAGCUGGUCUGAGAGGAUGAUCAGCCACACUGGGACUGAGACACGGCCCAGACUCCUAAGGGUGGCGGCAGUAGGGAAUAUGGGAGAAUGGGCGCAAGCCUGAUCCUGCAAGUCCGCGUGGGUGAUGAAGGCCCUAGGGUUGAAAGGCUCUUUCACCGGUGAAGCUACUGACGGUAACCGAAGAAGAAGCCCCGGCUAACUACGUGCCAGCCGCCGCCGUAAAAC